AACGUAGGAUGCAAGCGUUAUCCGGAGUUACUGGGCGUAAAGGGCGGGCAGGCGGCUGGGAAAGUCGGACGUGAAAGCUCCCGGCUCAACCGGGAGAGGCCGUUCGAAACUGGUCAGCUGGAGGGCAGCAGAGGAGCGUGGAAUUCCGGGUGGAGCGGUGAAAUGCGCAGAGAUCCGGAGGAACACCAGAGGCGAAAGCGGCGCUCUGGGCUGCACCUGACGCUGAACCGCGAAAGCAUGGGGAGCGAACGGG
rnacentral:rRNA from 1 species